GGGAAAUGGCUCCAAUCUCCCGGCUCCUGCCCUCUGCUCCACCCCCAGAGCUCUCCACCACCCAGGUCAGCCAAGCUGUUUCCCAAGAAUGUAAACUCAAGAUCCAGUAGAUCCAAGAAGAGACAUAGAAGUCACCACUUUUUUCCUCAAUCCAGCUCCUCUGAGCUGCCCUAGUACCUGAAUAAAGCAUUGUUGUGAAACACA